AUUUUAGGAACGCCCCUUCUUUCCUCUUCUCCCUAACACGGUGGAGAUGGUUUUGCUCAGACAAACUUUAUUACCAGCACCAAUGAGGGGAACCGAGAAUUCUGAGCCACUGUAGCUGACAUCACAGAACUCCAGCUGCUCUGUGGAUUGUAUCCUUUUCUACCUCUGUCCUUAAAAGCUAUUGGAGCCCUUAUUAAAAAAAGAAACUGCUGCUAUGUACUUAGAGAGCAACUCUUAUUUCGAGUGAUUCUUUUACCUGAUAAGGCAUUUGGAUAUUUAUUCCUCUAACUCGACUCCAAUCCCCCUAUCUUUUUCGUGUUUUCCCAGGUAAAGAGGAAAAAUCUCCAAUCCACUCCCAUCUGUUUGCCUCAUCCAGCAGAGCUUCCAGGCCACAGAAGGCUCAAGACUACAAUAUAAUUCCUGAGACUGCCAAGACCUUGGGUGCUGAUGGCUUCUCGUGGAUGAGGAGAAAACAACAGGACCACUGGAUUAGGGCUUGUUACAGCCCAACUCUCCCGCUUCUUGCUUCUUGCUUCUUGCUUCUUACUAAAUAAUGGAUCAAUGACUGCCCGGCAGAAUUAGCCUUUCAAUUGACUUUUGUCUUUCGCCCAUCAUUUUCAAAGCUCAUCUCCCAUGGGGAAGACUGAAAGAAGGAGU
ensembl:lincRNA D830026I12Rik RIKEN cDNA D830026I12 gene